AUUGAACGCUGGCGGCAUGCCUAACACAUGCAAGUCGAACGGGAGGCGGACGGGUGAGUAAUGACUGGGCAACUGCGCGAUGGAGAGGUAUAACUGGUGGAAACGGUAGCUACUACCGCUUACAGCCGGCUGUGCACAGAUGGGAUUAGGUAGUUGGUGGGGUAACGGCUCACCUAGGGGACGAUCCCUAGCUGGUCUGAGAGGAUGACCGGCCACACUGGAACUGAGACACGGUCCAGACUCCUACGGGAGGCAGAAGUGGGGAAUAUUGGACAAUGGGCGAAAGCCUGAUCCAGCCAUGCCGCGUGUGUGAAGAAGGCUUUCGGGUUGUAAAGCACUUUUGGCAAGGAAGCGGUACCCGCAGAAGAAGCCCCGGCUAACUACGUGCCAGCAGCCGCGGUAAUUC
rnacentral:rRNA from 1 species